rnacentral:rRNA from 2 species
UCGACGCACUCUCGUUUAGAUUGAAGGAGCUUGCUCCUGAUUGAUAAACAUUUGAGUGAGUGGCGGACGGGUGAGUAACACGUGGGUAACCUGCCCUAAAGUGGGGGAUAACAUUUGGAAACAGAUGCUAAUACCGCAUAAAACCUAACACCGCAUGGUGUAGGGUUGAAAGAUGGUUUCGGCUAUCACUUUAGGAUGGACCCGCGGUGCAUUAGUUAGUUGGUGAGGUAAAGGCUCACCAAGACCGUGAUGCAUAGCCGACCUGAGAGGGUAAUCGGCCACACUGGGACUGAGACACGGCCCAGACUCCUACGGGAGGCAGCAGUAGGGAAUCUUCCACAAUGGACGAAAGUCUGAUGGAGCAACGCCGCGUGAGUGAAGAAGGUUUUCGGAUCGUAAAACUCUGUUGUUGGAGAAGAAUGUAUCUGAUAGUAACUGAUCAGGUAGUGACGGUAUCCAACCAGAAAGCCACGGCUAACUACGUGCCAGCAGCCGCGGUAAUACGUAGGUGGCAAGCGUUGUCCGGAUUUAUUGGGCGUAAAGCGAGCGCAGGCGGUUUCUUAAGUCUGAUGUGAAAGCCUUCGGCUCAACCGAAGAAGUGCAUCGGAACUGGGAAACUUGAGUGCAGAAGAGGACAGUGGAACUCCAUGUGUAGCGGUGAAAUGCGUAGAUAUAUGGAAGAACACCAGUGGCGAAGGCGGCUGUCUGGUCUGUAACUGACGCUGAGGCUCGAAAGCAUGGGUAGCAAACAGGAUUAGAUACCCUGGUAGUCCAUGCCGUAAACGAUGAGUGCUAGGUGUUGGAGGGUUUCCGCCCUUCAGUGCCGCAGCUCACG